rnacentral:lncRNA from 1 species
GACAACAGCGCCUCCCGCAGGAGAAAGGUAGCUGCCUAUCGUUACAUUGUCCGCAAAUCGGCCUCUAUCUAAGCUAACUUCGACUAUGAAGGGGAUUUGAUUAGCUAAACUUGUAAGGUUCUCCUUUUCGCAUUUUGCUUGCUUUGUUCUUUUUGAGGGGUUUAUUUAAUCAAUGGUUGUGAACCUUUUUUUUUAGUCUGCUAAGAAGUAUUAGUACUGCAAUGUAUAAAAAUGGUGGUAGUAUGAUAUAUAUUAUUGCUUAAUAUAGAGGAAAAAACAUAUCUAUUGAAC